GACAGAGGUGCCGAGCGUUAGGCGGAAUCACUGGGCUUAAAGCGUGUGUAGGCGGGCCGUUAAGUGCCCCGUGAAAUCCCCCGGCUCAACCGGGGAACGGCGGGGCAUACUGGCGGCCUUGAGCCACUUAAGGGCAGACGGAACAAGCGGUGGAGCGGUGAAAUGCGUAGAGAUCGGAAAGAACACCAACGGCGAAAGCACUCUGCUGGGCCGACACUGACACUGAGAGACGAAAGCUAGGGGAGCGAAUGGG
rnacentral:rRNA from 1 species